CUUAGUAGUCAUAUGUAAAAAGCCUGACAAAGCAUAGCUAGCAAAGGACAAGAUGCUGAUUAACAAAGGUCAACUGACUCAGACUUCCUUGGAAUGGAAAUGAGGAAGGGAUUUCAGGAUGGACCUUCAGUAAGGAGGUGAUCACUGCAGCACACAGUAUCAGUGGAACCUACUGGCCAAGGAAUACCCACCCAGCAGUACUGUUUCUGAGAGACCUGCUGUGAUGGUAAGCUACUCCCUUGGGGCAGAGCAUGGUGAUAUUUCCAGUUUGGAAUGCAGCAGAGCAGAG
rnacentral:lncRNA from 1 species